GGCGGAUGUCUGCCGGGUCCGCGUUGGGCUUUCUGGUAGCUUCUCCGCGAAGCGCGCUUGUUCCUGAGGCGGUGCCUGCCUGUGUCGUCGUCCCUGUUUGUUCUUCUUCAAACGUCAGGAUUUCUCCGUGUUUCCCAGACCGUUUGGAAUAGUUCACCAGUGAAGUCAUCUCAACCAGCACAGGGCCUUGACUCCUAACAACAAUCACACGAACUUGGAAGAGGAGCCUUCCCCAGCUGAACCUUCACUUGAGACCUCAUCCUUGGCCAUCAUCUACAUCUGGAUUCAUGAUACAGAGAAACCUGAGUACUGAUGACACUAGCAGUCCAGCCUGCAUGGAUGCUGACAUGGAUGCUGUCUCCCAUUCUUACCACUGGAUGUGAAGAAAUGCUAGAUGCAAUCCAUCCAAUCUGUACUCGACUCUCAAUUGCAUCUUCUCAACUCACAGUGACUUCCAAAGUCCAUGACACACCACAGCCUGGAACAUCUCCCAAGGCUUUGAAUAACACACCAGUGAAGUCAUCUUGACCUGGACAGAAAUUGAAUCCUCCCAAGAAUCCCAGGAGCUUGGAAGGGGAUCCUUCCCCAGAUGAGCCUUCCCUUGAAAUCUCUGCCAGGCAUCUGACCUAGAGAAACUGCCACACCACUUUACAGAGGAACACCAGGGAUCUUCCAGGAACCAUGCCCACAAAGCUUACUAAGCCAUGGGACUGCAUACUACACUCCCAAGGACAUCCACAAAGUCAAGACUCUUGCUUUUUCAGACUGUGAUCAUGGGCUACAUUCUCCAUACCAUGUUCAUAGCUUCAGCGAGAAAACAAACUCCUGCAUCCUGGAGACCUACAGUGAGAGACACAGCUGACCUUGAACAUAUUUCUCACUUCUGAGAAGAUUAUAGCAGUAACUCAGGUGCUAUUAUUUGGGGCAUUUAUAAUUCAGUAAACCUUCUUACUCCUCUAGUCUUACAAUUCACCCCAUAGGAAAGGAUGGUUUCAUUUAAAUUGGCAAUCUUAAGUCAUGGAGGUUUGCUCUUUUUAUUUCAUUAUAACAGGAGUUUCUAUAAGGUAAGUGACUUGUACAAUCCCAUUUUCCUCUUCAUUUCAAUGCAUAUAUAUGGUCUAUUAUGAUGUGUACUGUUAAGAUCAUCCAUGACCAAAUUCUUCAGGAAAAAAAAAAUCACCAAGUGGCAGGCCAUGAGGGAGACAGAAGUAGAUGUGUAGAAGGACAGACUCAUCCGUAGGUGGCAAGAGGGUUGAGGAGCUCUGAGUGCUCAGGGUUAAGACUGGAAAAGUGAUUAGACAUGAAACUCUGCUACCAUAAUGUCCCAGGCACAGAGGACACAGUGCUGAGCACUAAGCUCCUAAACAUUACCAUGAGUCUGGAUUGGCUGAGUCUGGAUUGGCCACCAGAAUUCUCAGAAAGAUGCCAUUGAAAACACCCCAUCAUCCAACCACUUCCUUAGGCAAGAACCCAGUGCUGUCUCUGCCCUCUAGUCUGAAUACUGAAUCAAGUUUAAAGGGU
rnacentral:lncRNA from 10 species